GGGCGAGUAGCUCAACUGGAUAGAGCACCGACCUUCUAAGUCGGGGGUUGCAGGUUCGAGACCUGCCUCGCCCACCA
rnacentral:tRNA from 2 species